ACCCUCUCAGGAUUGCACCUGGAGAGUUUCCAGUACUCUACCAGACUUGGCUUCAGGAGGGAGAGUCAAACAGAGGCAUACCCAUUCCAUUCCUAGCUUGGACAGUAGGUAGCAAGUGGGAGGCAAUCUGCUAAAAAC
rfam:Ornithorhynchus anatinus chromosome 3, whole genome shotgun sequence.